rnacentral:rRNA from 1 species
UGGGGAAUUUUGGACAAUGGGGGAAACCCUGAUCCAGCCAUCCCGCGUGUGCGAUGAAGGCCUUCGGGUUGUAAAGCACUUUUGGCAGGAAAGAAACGUCGCGGGUUAAUACCCCGCGAAACUGACGGUACCUGCAGAAUAAGCACCGGCUAACUACGUGCCAGCAGCCGCGGUAAUACGUAGGGUGCAAGCGUUAAUCGGAAUUACUGGGCGUAAAGCGUGCGCAGGCGGUUCGGAAAGAAAGAUGUGAAAUCCCAGAGCUUAACUUUGGAACUGCAUUUUUUAACUACCGGGCUAGAGUGUGUCAGAGGGAGGUGGAAUUCCGCGUGUAGCAGUGAAAUGCGUAGAUAUGCGGAGGAACACCGAUGGCGAAGGCAGCCUCCUGGGAUAACACUGACGCUCAUGCACGAAAGCGUGGGGAGCAAACAGGAUUAGAUACCCUGGUAGUCCACGCCCUAAACGAUGUCAACUAGCUGUUGGGGGCCUUCGGGCCUUGGUAGCGCAGCUAACGCGUGAAGUUGACCGCCUGGGGAGUACGGUCGCAAGAUUAAAACUCAAAGGAAUUGGAC